rnacentral:rRNA from 1 species
GAUGAACGCUAGCGGCAGGCUUAACACAUGCAAGUCGAGGGGUAGCGCGGUAGCAAUACUGGCGACGACCGGCAAACGGGUGCGGAACACGUACUGAACCUACCUUGAUCUGGGGCAUAGCCCCGGAGAAAUCCGGAUUAACUCCCCAUAAUAUAGAUGAGUGGCAUCACUUGACUAUUAAAAAUUUAUUGGAUCGAGAUGGCAGUGCGUCCCAUUAGCUAGUUGGUAGGGUAACGGCCUACCAAGGCAACGAUGGGUAGCUGGUGUGAG